UGCCUCGCAUCCCCUCGCACACACGAAAAAAAACAGCGAAAAUAAUCCCCGAGAGAAAGUCCAAUCGCGUCCCGCAAACCCUAGCCGCCGCCGGCCUCCCCUACCCGUGCCGCAGACGCACACCAUCCUCUUCUCCUCCCUCCCGUCAGCGACCUGCCUCCACUCCGCGAGGCAGAUCGAUCGAGACCCAUGGCCGGGGUCGCCACCGUGCCUCGCCGCGCAGCGCAUCGGGUAACCACCUCCCCUCCCCAUCUUCCUCCUUCAAAUUUUGGCAGCAACGACCGUGAGUGUGGCUGCUCCUCGUCCGUGCUCCGGCAGACGUCCCCUACCCCCCCCCCCCCCCCCCCUCCGCUGACGGUGGCCAGAACGAGGUGGGUUCAACCGGCAGAGGCCCGGGCGAGAUCGCGUGCGAGUGGACGGAGCAGGCGCUCGUGGUCGUGGUGAACCAUGGGCGCAGUCGGAGCAGAGAGUCGGGGCGUAGGAGAUGAGGAGAACGGCGUAGGCUUCAUGAUGGAAGGAGAUACGGCGGCGGACAAGGAGGAGGUCGGGGGUUACACAGAGGUACAGGUGGAUGUCAGCAACCUGCCCCCUACGACGUCGAUGGUACUUUGACGUUAGAAGGGAUACUUGCCCCUUUGGCGGAUGAUGUUUUUACAAGCAUGCCUACACCGAUGGGCAUUUGGAGGAGCCGGCAACGGUGGCAGUGCUUCAUUUUCCUGCCGACAAUGGAAGUAUGGACCAGCAAGAAAUAUCGAGUUGAAAAUUCCGUUCGAACAUGCAGAUUGGCAUACUUGCUGAGAAGGUUACAACUGUAGAAGGAAGCAGUUGAGAAGAGAAGCACGUAGGGGAUGAUGUCGAUCUUGCACAUUCAGCUUUAUGUAAAUGCUUCUUCGUGUACCAUAUAUGGCAGUUUGGUAAAAAGAAAAAGAAAACAACGGAGCAAAUUAAAAUAUAAUAUGUUUAUCAAAAAGGCAGAAGCCCCCAGCUAGAUUGACGAGAAAGUUUAUUUUGCACAUGGUCUUUUCUGGUUUUGUCCUUGUAGCAAGAAGUACAUUUUUAUAACAAUAUCAGCUUUGCUCUGGUGUGUGCAAUGAUUUCAUUCAGAUAGAGACCUUUUGGAAAUUGUGGUUUUCUUUUGUAUUUUGGUCCUAAUAUGGAAUGUUCUGUUGCUGGAUUGAAUUACUCUCUCAGCAUUUUUAUUUUGACAUAUUAUAAUGCUCAGUUUGUUUACAGGCUAUUGAAUACUGUCGGAGGAAGGAAUCAGUGCUGAGGUGAUCAACCUUCGAUCAGUUAGGCCACUGGAUAGAGCUGCGAUAAAAGCAUAUGUUACGAAAAUAAAUAGGUUGGUGAUUCUUGAAGAAGGCUCCCCCCAACAUCGUGUUGGUGCUGAGAUAUGGUUUUCUCUCUCUCUCUCUCUCCACACACAUCAUGUCAGGUUUGAGCAGGCCAACCCUCUUCCAAUUAUUCAUUCGAAUUAUUGUACAGAAUCUACAAUUAUAAGAAAGAAGAAUUUGAUAAAUUAGAGAGAGAUAUGCUUUCAUAAAUUGCUCACCCCUGAAGGUUACAAAUUCAAGUGUUGGGUUCGAAGGAUGAAGCAAAUCCCAAAUCACAUGUUAAUAUAUCUUGAUGCACAUUUGUAUUUACUUUGCUUCAGGUUCACAUGCAGUGACGGAGAUUUCAUCGGCUCGCCUCCAUUUUCUUGGUGAACCCACAUUUCCCUCUAAGGUACAUUCUGAAGGAGAAGAUUGCUGGUCGAGAAGGCCAUUUAUCUGAUAUUAGUUUAUUGGAGAAAUUGCCCAUGAUGUAUUUUCAGUACAUUAGGAUUUUUUGUAGUCGCAUGGUUCUGAUAGGAAGAUACCGUUGCUACCAGGUCAACAAUCUCCCCUUCAAUAAUAUUUGAUUUACAUUUUGUAUGCCAUUCAUCGAAUCAAUGUGGAUUACAAUGACCACCCGUAUGUUUUGAUUGCA